GAUGAACGCUAGCGGCAGGCUUAACACAUGCAAGUCGAGGGGUAUAUGUCUUCGGAUAUAGAGACCGGCGCACGGGUGCGUAACGCGUAUGCAAUCUACCUUUUACAGGGGAAUAGCCCCAGAGAAAUUUGGAUUAAUGCCCCAUAGUAUAAUUGAAUGGCAUCAUUUAAUUAUUAAAGUCACAACGGUAAAGAUGAGCAUGCGUCCCAUUAGUUAGUUGGUAAGGUAACGGCUUACCAAGACAAUGAUGGGUAGGGGUCCUGAGAGGGAGAUCCCCCACACUGGUACUGAGACACGGACCAGACUCCUACGGGAGGCAGCAGUGAGGAAUAUUGGACAAUGGGCGCAAGCCUGAUCCAGCCAUGCCGCGUGCAGGAAGACGGUCCUAUGGAUUGUAAACUGCUUUUAUACAGGAAGAAACACUCCGACGUGUCGGAGCUUGACGGUACUGUAAGAAUAAGGAUCGGCUAACUCCGUGCCAGCA
rnacentral:rRNA from 1 species